UUUUGCAAAAUUUGUCGGAACCUAUAAUUGAUCAUAUGAAGAAAUAUUUAAAAAGGCAGGCAUGGCAUUUUAACCGUCAGUCCCACAGGACUAGAUACCAAAUCUAAUCCCCCCCUUCUCCGUCCAGCUAUCUAUCAGUCACAACAGCCCUUUCACCAGCAACUCAUCCCAACAGUCCCGCCAGUCAAAAUGCCAAAUAAAUUCCAGUCUCAGAAAAUCAUCAUCACUCCACUUUCAAUGCAAAACAGAUCCCAGGUGGAUAGGGUAGGGCAUCCCGCAAUGACUCCAGGGCUCUCUACUUGUGAUUGAACCAGGGACCCAUCGCACCGUUGACGUGCCUGUUGCUGUGGUGCAUCCCUAUGCCAUUGGGCAUGACGGAAGGGGGAAGCCCCGCCGCCACUGGAGGGGGCACAGUCGGAUACAACCCCUGAUCGUGCGGCGGUAGCGUGUGGGGACUCACAAUAGGACUGCUAAGAGGGCUGCCCUUACGUUGUUGCUGAAUGGCGUGGAUCUGCCUAAGCCCCACUUCAUGAAUGCACGAGAUCGUCUCCAACUCUUUCAUUGAAAGUGCAUCCAGAUCAGCACCGUACAGAGGAGCAUGCCUAGACAUUUCUUCCCCGAGUUGAGUAACGAGUGAUUGGAUGCAUUCCUGCAAAGAGGAGGUGAAAUCUACGCAACAAAGAGAAAGCAGGACAAUCCAAAUUAAUACUAAAGCAUAUGCUUGAAUGAGAGUAGUUGGCACAAACCUGGUAGGCCUCCAAUCGUGCUUGCAUACUAUGAAUACGUUCUUCAUAUUCAGCAAUCCGCUCCUCCUUUUCCCGCUUUUCUCCUUCAGUUUGUCCCACUGUUUGUCUCAAUCUUCUAAUCUCGUCCUCAAGGGACUGCCGAAUCUCUUCUCGGGUAAUAUUUUCCGUCGCGUACCGCUUCGGCUCUUCAUCAGAUCUUUUCCUCCCAGCUUCCGCACUCUUCAGCUGCAAAAUCUGCGACUCUGCAUCACGAAGACGAUCUUGAAGGGCCUUCUUCUCAGAAGUGAGCUUUGCAAUUUCCUCCGCUCUCUCAGAGCGAAGCCCCUCAAGCUGGUUCUCUAGGUCCCGGACUUGUUCAGAUAAUUUUUUCCUUUCUGGUGCAACACGAUCCAUCUCGGCCUUCAUCUCAGACCGCCAAUUACAAGCAGUGUCAAACAAAAACUUGCCUCGAAGAAUCGACACACCACGUUAAGGCAAUCGCGUACCUUGGUCAAGAAGUAAAGCAAAAUAGUUAGCCUUAAGACGGGGUUGUUCGUCGCCUCAGAUUCUCACUCAGUUCCUGUGAUUACCGCAGCUUUUUCUCUAACCCUACCGGAGAUCUCGGCUUUCCUCUCUUCACGCAGGCGUGUGUGAUUUCUUCUUCCCUUGGACAAAAGCUUAGUGCCGAAGUUUUGUUCGCUGCCUCGUUUGGGACACGCGUUCGGACACGCAGUCGGACAGGUGGAAGAUUGAAGCGAGGAAAAGAAAAGUGAACUAAAUUUGAGGGACCGGGGUUUGGGAGUGGACCGUGAGAGGACUUUUUCAAUCAGAAAAAUAAAUAAAUGAGGUUAACAAAAGUGAUUUCGAAAAAUAAUAGUAUUGAAUUUUGAACAAUGAUAAAUUUUGGUCAUUGCAUAAUAUCAUAGACUUAUUUAAAUAAGUUUAUUCUAAUUUUUUAUAGGCAAUAAUAUUAUCAAUAACUUUGUUAAAGUUUAAAACAUGUCUUCAGAUAUGAAUACGCAUUAAUUAUGAAUAUGUCUUUCAAAUUUUCAAUAAAUAGAUUUAUUAAUAAUAUUAUUAUAAAUUCAUUGUAGAUUCUUUCUAUUAUUUAUUUUUUUGUGAAUUUGAAUAAAAUCAAUUAAAAAUAAGAAUAUUUAUUUAAUAGAUAACGUGUCAGAUUCUUUAUUUUUAAGAAAUAAUGUAUCAACGUGUCAUGUCGUGUUGUAUAUUUGCGUCGUGUGUUCAUGUCGCAUGUUGCAUGUCAAUGCUAUAUCGUUCUUAAAUGCUUAAUUUGGUCAAUGUUGUUUAUGAACUAUUCAUAAAUGUUGGAUGUUUUCCUUCAUCUUACUCAAAUGACAAACCGGACUUCACUGGAUGAAAUGGAUUAUUAUAAAGAUGCGCUAAUAUGUCUAUCCUUGUAUCCAUCUACUUUGAAAAAAGAGAAAUAAAAUUAUAGCAUUAAUGUAUCCAUCUUUAUUUGGUGACUCGGAUUAUUAUAUCUUGAUUUCAGGUAAAUAUUUUACGUGGGUACUUCAGGUGUAGUUUUUUAUUAUUAUAAUUUUUAUCCACCAUUCCAAAUUAACGGAUUAGGGCUUGUUUGUUAAUGUUCUUUGUUUUUGUUUAUAAACAAAAUUUCUGUUUUUUUGUUCUAGGGAACAAAAAAAGAACAGAAUCGUAUUUGUUUGUGCUUUUGUUCCAAAUCUAUUCUUUUGUUCCUAGGAACAUAUUUGGAACAGAAACAAAAAACAAGAAAAACGUGUUUCUUGUUUCUGAAACAAUUUUUAAGAACAAAAUUUCUCUCUCUUCUCUUUUUCUUCUCUCUUUUUUUUUCUUCUUUAUUUUUCUUUUUUCUUUAGCUGGUCGACGGCCUCGGCCAUGGCUGGCAAUCGGCUGUUGAGGGCUGGCGACCUUGUUGGAGCGUCGCCGCCCCCUGGCGAGGCCCAGCGUUGCCGGCCCCCGAUAAGGCUGAGCGUCACCGACCCCUGGCAAGGCUCGGCCUUGCUGGCGUGGGGCAAAGCUGGGCGAGCUCGGACUUGCCCAAAUCCGGCGAGUCCAAGCUUGCCUAGCCAAGGCGAGGUCGAGCCUCGCCCAACCACAAUGAGGCCUCGACCUCACUGGGGGCCGGUGAGCCUCGCCAUGGCUGGGUGAGGCCGUCGACCAUGGCCGAGGUCAGCAACCGGCCAAAAGAAGAAAAAAAGAAAAAAGAAAAAAGAAAGAAAAAUAAAAUAAAAAUAUUAAAAAAUUAAAAGAAACAAAAAAAAAAAAACACAAUUUUACCAAGCGUGUUUCUAUUCAAUUUUUAUUCUCGGAACAAGUUUACCAAACACGUUUUUUUGUUAAAAAAUUGUUCUCCAUAACAGAAACACUUUUUUCUAUUAGUCAUUUUGACCAAUUUUAACUAGAAAAGGUUGUUCUAUGUGGCGCUAGCACUAAUAUAAAUAAUUUUUUCAUUUUUUCCUCAUCGGUCAAGAAGAGGAAAAUUUCAAAAAUAAUAAUAAUAAUAAUAAAAUUUACUCAUGUCAACUUAUUAUGUAUGAUGGCUGGUUUCUACAAUAGCAAUUUCUGACCAAUAUUGCCCAAGAGGACUAUAUUAACAAUUCGUGAAAAUAUUUAUGAUUAAAUUGGUAUAAUUGAAAUGUUUAAAAUCGAAUUGAUUGUCAUAUAAUAUAUUUAGGAUUUUUUAGACAAUUUUUCCAUUCAACGACAAUUGUGCAUCUCAAGAAUCGGCAUAGUCAACGUCUGAAUACUUUGGGGGCAAAUCAUGUGAAUGGGAGCUCCGUGUAAAGUUGCUAGUCAAGUUCUCUGCUAUCUUUCGUGUUGUAUGAAUUUCAAGAUGAGAAGAUUUGAAGAUGAUGAGGACGAUGCUUAUGGAUAGAUUAGGUGCGGUCUGAAAUUUUCAAUUGCUUAGUUACCACACACAAGCGGGUAUUAUCCACUUAGAAAAAGCAUGUGACGGAGUUUCUUGCCUUGUACCCGACGUGAUAAUAGUGGAUGAGGCAAGAACCGUGACGUGGCACGUCAUUGUUCAGCUCAGCUGACUCGUUCUUCCACAGUGGACUUUUUGCAAUCAUCAAUACCUAAUAUGGAUCCUGAGGCCUAAACCAUAAGCCGCUAUUUUCCUCAGAUUUCAGCAUGAUCCACACGUUGUUUCUAAUCUGAUUUGACAUUUUGGGAUUUCUAUCGUAGAUUCGUUAAAAGGCCCGUGUUUUAUUCAAGGCCCAGCAGUUGCGGCCUCAACUCAACCGGGGCACCUCUCGUGGAUCUCUUUUUUUGGCCCAUCGUUUCUAGAAGCAGACCAGCAAUUCUUGUUACCAUGGUUCAUAUCAAUUUAUGAUAUCUCCAUGUUGUCUCAAUAAGCCGGCGUUAGCUUCUAAUAAGCCACGGCCCGUUCGAGAGUUUUGAGCGAUGCUCGAGUCGUGUGGUGUCACCUGUGCUAAACACCUCGAAAGCAUUAGUAUUUAUAAGAAAGAAAAGUUCAGACUCUUAUCAAGGUUAACAGCUGACAGUCUUAAGAAACUGAGAUUGCACAUGACAAAAUUUCUGAAACAUAAAUUGAUUUCUGACUAGAAAUCAAUUUCUUAAUUUCUAUUCCAUGGACAAGUUUCUAAGCAAAGAAACCCAUUUGAUAACAACUCAAAAUUUCUAUUUCUCAAACAUAAAUCCGUUUAAUAGCAGAACAAAAUUUAUAUUUCUAGGAAUAGAAAUCGAUUAGAUAACAACAUAGGAAAUCCUCAAAUACAAAAUAAUAGUCGAAAUAAUACUAAAACAAUAUAGGAAAUCCUCAAAUACAAAAUAAUAGUCGAAAUAAUACUAAUACUUUACAAAAGUUGAAAUACAAUUUCAUGGAAUUUCCGGCAUAGUAUUAUCCAUCGUCAUUUUAUUAGCAAUUGAUUUCCUAAGCAUAUUUAUUGGGUUUCCCUCAUCGGUCAAUGUAUCGUUUGCAAGUUCAUCUUGCGUAGGAUCAGACAAGUACUGCGGAAGCAUGAAUAUGGGUACUAUCAAUGGCGCCUAUACAGCAUUGUCAUUUUAUCAAAAAGUAUUAUACAAGAUUAUCAACAAAAUAAAAUUAAUUGUGUAAGGAAUAUAUGAGAAUUCUACCUUAAAGUAACGUUUAUGGUUAGGAACCAAUCGGGGGAAGGUUGGUUUAUUUUGAUUCUCGAAUUGAAUCAGUUCAGUUGCUCAUCCCUAAUUUCUUUAUUGUUGCUCAAUGAACCUUUAAUGGCCCUUCCAUAGCAAAGAGAGAGAUUCUCUUGAAUCUCUUGCCUUCGAAUUAAAAUUCAAAAUUGUGUAACAAUUUAAUUAUUUUGAUUUUGCAAGAAUUUUGAAUCCGUAAAAAAAUAAGGUUAAAUUUCUAGGUACGUUUUUUAUCCAUCUAUCACGUAAGCAUUUUUUCUUCAAUUGGUCAUGUGCGUGCCUUUUCUAGGAGGAAAUAAUCCUAUUGUUUUUAAAUAAGCUUUUAAGAACUUUGGUCGCUUUUUGAAAAUUGGGUACCCAUUCGAUUGCUUUUCAUCCUAAAGAGAAAGUUAUAAAAAAAAAUUUGAAAAAAAAAACACGAGCAAAAUAAGAAAAAGAAAAUUAACAAUAAUUUGUGAAGUUGUGGUUAUGAGUGAAUUAAGUUAGCAAGAAAGCGCAAAGUUCUUUCAUAUGGUUUGAUUUCAGUUUCUGAUUUCUAUUUCAGAAACUGAGAAAUUAAAAAUUUAAGCUUCUGAUUUCUUCAAUUUCUCUAUUUCUGGAAUAGAAAUCUAUUUCAAUAACAGAGAAAUCAAAUUACGUUACCAAAUGGAUUUCUGUUCCAAACUUGUUCCCGAGAACAGAGAAACAGAGAAAUCGAGAAACAGAAAUUUUGUUAUGGGCGCCCUGAGUAUCUGCUCCACAAAUCACUUCUUCUUCUUUAGAGAGAGAAAGUGAGAGAAUAUGAGACACUUUUGCAAAAUUUGUCGGAACCUAUAAUUGAUCAUAUGAAGAAAUAUUUAAAAAAAGCACUGUUACUCCCAUUGGACUAGACACCAAUCUAAUCCCCCCCCUUCUCCGUCCAGCUAUCUAUCAGUCACAGCAGCCCUUUCACCAGCAACUCAUCCCAACAGUCCCGCCAGUCAAAAUGCCAAAUAAAUUCCAGUCUCAGAAAAUCAUCAUCCCUCCACUUUCAAUGCAAAACAGAUCCCAGGUGGAUAGGGUAGGGCAUCCCGCAAUGACUCCAGGGCUCUACUGGUGACUGAACCAGGGAGCCAUUGCACCGUUGACGUGCCUGUUGCUGUGGUGCAUCCCUAUGCCAUUGGGCAUGACGGAAGGGGGAAGCCCCACCGCCACUUGAGGGGGCGCGUUCGGAUACAACCCGUGAUUGUGCGGCGGUAGCUUGUGGGGACUCAUGAUAGGACUGCUAAGAGGGCUGCCCUUACGUUGUUGCUGAAUGGCGUGGAUCUGCCUAAGCCCUUCUUCAUGAAUGCGCGAGAUCGUCUCCAACUCUGUCAUUGAAAGUGCAUCCAGACCAGCACCGUACAGAGGAGCAUGCCUAGACAUUUCUUCCCGGAGUUGAGUAUCGAGUGAUUGGAUAUAUUCCUGCAAAGAGGAGGUGAAAUCUAAGCAACAAAGAGAAAGCAGGACAACCCAAAUUAAUACUAAAGCAUAUGCUUGAAUGAGUUGUUGGCACAAACCUGGUAGGCUUCCAAUCGUG
rnacentral:lncRNA from 1 species